rnacentral:SRP_RNA from 1 species
GCUGGGCGCGGUGGCAGGUACCUGUAGUCCCAGCUACUCGGGAGGCUGAGGCUGGAGGAUUGCUCGAGUCCAGGAGUCCUGGGCUGUAGUGUGCUAUGCCGAUUAGGUGUCCACACUAAGUUUGGCAUCAAUAUGGUGACCUCCCGGGAGCAGGGGACCACCAGGUUGCCUAAGGAGGGGUGAACGGCCCAGGUCGGAAAUUGAGCAGGUCAAAACUCCCAUGGUGAUCAGUAGUGGGAUUGCGCCUGUGAAUGGCCACUGCACUUCAGACCCCAUCUCCCAAAAAAAAAUGAGA